AGUGACCGCUGGCGGUAGGCCUAACACAUGCAAGUCGAACGGCAGCACAGUAAGAGCUUGCUCUUACGGGUGGCGAGUGGCGGACGGGUGAGGAAUACAUCGGAAUCUACUUUUUCGUGGGGGAUAACGUAGGGAAACUUACGCUAAUACCGCAUACGACCUACGGGUGAAAGCAGGGGAUCUUCGGACCUUGCGCGAUUGAAUGAGCCGAUGUCGGAUUAGCUAGUUGGCGGGGUAAAGGCCCACCAAGGCGACGAUCCGUAGCUGGUCUGAGAGGAUGAUCAGCCACACUGGAACUGAGACACGGUCCAGACGCCUACGGGAGGCAGCAGUGGGGAAUAUUGGACAAUGGGCGCAAGCCUGAUCCAGCCAUACCGCGUGGGUGAAGAAGGCCUUCGGGUUGUAAAGCCCUUUUGUUGGGAAAGAAAAGCAGCAGGUUAAUACCCCGCUGUUCUGACGGUACCCAAAGAAUAAGCACCGGCUAACUUCGUG
rnacentral:rRNA from 1 species